rnacentral:rRNA from 1 species
CCUACGGGAGGCAGCAGUGGGGAAUCUUGCGCAAUGGGCGAAAGCCUGACGCAGCGACGCCUCGUGGGGGAUGAAGGCUCUCGGGUUGUAAACCCCUUUCGGCAGGAACGAAAUUGACGGUACCUGAAGAAGAAGCACCGGCCAACUACGUGCCAGCAGCCGCGGUAAUACGUAGGGUGCAAGCGUUGUCCGGAUUUAUUGGGCGUAAAGAGCUCGUAGGCGGCUUCGUAAGUCGGGUGUGAAACCUCCAGGCUUAACCUGGAGACGCCACCCGAUACUGCGAUAGCUAGAGUCUGGUAGGGGAUCACGGAAUUCCUGGUGUAGCGGUGAAAUGCGCAGAUAUCAGGAGGAACACCGAUGGCGAAGGCAGUGAUCUGGGCCAGUACUGACGCUGAGGAGCGAAAGCGUGGGGAGCAAACAGGAUUAGAUACCCUGGUAGUCCACGCCGUAAACGUUGGGCACUAGGUGUGGGUCCUUAUCAACGGGAUCCGUGCCGCAGCUACGACAUAAGUAGCCCGCCGUCGGGAGGUACGGUCGCGACGACUAAACCUACAAGAAGUAGACGGCGUGAGACGNGCCGACGGACGACGACGAGGGAGGUAGG